AGUGAACGCUGGCGGUAGGCCUAACACAUGCAAGUCGAACGGCAGCACAGUAAGAGCUGGCUCUUACGGGUGGCGAGUGGCGGACGGGUGAGGAAUACAUCGGAAUCUACUUUUUCGUGGGGGAUAACGUAGGGAAACUUACGCUAAUACCGCAUACGACCUACGGGUGAAAGCAGGGGAUCUUCGGACCUUGCGCGAUUGAAUGAGCCGAUGUCGGAUUAGCUAGUUGGCGGGGUAAAGGCCCACCAAGGCGACGAUCCGUAGCUGGUCUGAGAGGAUGAUCAGCCACACUGGAACUGAGACACGGUCCAGACUCCUACGGGAGGAAGCAGUGGGGAAUAUUGGACAAUGGGCGCAAGCCUGAUCCAGCCAUACCGCGUGGGUGCAGAAGGCCUUCGGGUUGUAAAGCCAUUUUGUUGGGAAAGAAAAGCAGCAGGUUAAUACCCCGCUGUUCUGACGGUACCCAAAGAAUAAGCACCGGCUAACUUCGUG
rnacentral:rRNA from 1 species